AACGAACGCUGGCGGCAGGCCUAACACAUGCAAGUCGAGCGCGCCCUUCGGGGUGAGCGGCGGACGGGUGAGUAACGCGUGGGAACGUGCCCUUUUCUACGGAAUAGCCUCGGGAAACUGAGAGUAAUACCGUAUACGCCCUUUGGGGGAAAGAUUUAUCGGAAAAGGAUCGGCCCGCGUUGGAUUAGGUAGUUGGUGGGGUAAUGGCCUACCAAGCCGACGAUCCAUAGCUGGUUUGAGAGGAUGAUCAGCCACACUGGGACUGAGACACGGCCCAGACUCCUACGGGAGGCAGCAGUGGGGAAUCUUAGACAAUGGGGGCAACCCUGAUCUAGCCAUGCCGCGUGAGUGAUGAAGGCCUUAGGGUUGUAAAGCUCUUUCAGCUGGGAAGAUAAUGACGGUACCAGCAGAAGAAGUCCCGGCUAACUCCGUG
rnacentral:rRNA from 1 species